rnacentral:rRNA from 1 species
CUCCGGUUGAUCCUGCCGGACCUGACUGCUAUCGGAUUGGUACUAAGCCAUGCGAGUCAUUGUAGCAAUACAAGGCGGACGGCUCAGUAACACGUAGUCAACCUAACUCGUGGACGUGGAUAACCUCGGGAAACUGAGAAUAAACCACGAUAGAUCAUAGUGCCUGGAAUGGCUUAUGGUCCAAACAGUUUACUGCCAUGGGAUGGGACUGCGGCCUAUCAGCUUGUUGGUGAGGUAAUGGCCCACCAAGGCGAUUACAGGUACGGGCUCUGAGAGGAGAAGCCCGGAGAUGGGUACUGAGACACGGACCCAGGCCCUAUGGGGCGCAGCAGGCGAGAAACCUUAGCAAUGUGCGAAAGCACGACUGGGUCAGUCCGAGUGAUUCCUGAUAAAGGAGUCUUUUGCUUGUCCUAAAAGCACAGGUGAAUAAGGGGUGGGCAAGUCUGGUGUCAGCCGCCGCGGUAAUACCAGCACCUCGAGUGGUCAGGACGUUUAUUGGGCCUAAAGCAUCCGUAGCCGGCUUUGCAAGUCUUCGGUUAAAUCCACCUGCUCAACAGAUGGGCUGCUGGAGAUACUACAAAGCUAGGGAGUGGGAGAGGCAGACGGUAUUCAGUGGGUAGGGGUAAAAUCCUCUGAUCCAUUGAGGACCACCAGUGGCGAAGGCGGUCUGCCAGAACACGUUCGACGGUGAGGGAUGAAAGCUGGGGGAGCAAACCGGAUUAGAUACCCGGGUAGUCCCAGCUGUAAACGAUGCAAACUCGGUGAUGCAUUGGCUUAUGGCCAAUGCAGUGCCGCAGGGAAGCCGUUAAGUUUGCCGCCUGGGAAGUACGGACGCAAGUCUGAAACUUAAAGGAAUUGGCGGGGGAGCA